AGAAAGUGAGUAGGGAAACAGGCUUUUAAACAACCAUGCAUGACUGGUUUUGUCAUAUCUCCGUGUACAAUCUACUUUCUUACUCUAGUCUUUCUCUCUCUCUCUUUCUGUCUAUCUCGCUCUGCCCUUUACCCCUCCCAGAGUAGGCAGAACCAGAGAGCUUCAAGCCAGAAACUUAUCUUACAGUUCACAGGACAUUCAGAGCUAGCAGGAGUGAAAGUCAGGCAAAAGCUUUAGUUCUCAUUGCUUCACAAUGUCAGACAGUCCAAACCAGGAGCCUACCACCACAGCGGCAGAAGAGACACCGCCACCAGCAGAGAAGAGUUGUGCAGACCUAAAAACAGCAAUGGAAAAAUGCAUCACAGAUAAAGGAGAAGCAAGUUGUACAGAACUGCUGGAGGCCUACAAGAAAUGUAUAAAAGCCCUGGGAACUAAAGCAUAGGACUCGUAUAUUUUACUAGGUGGUUGCAAGACAGAAGGGAUUGCCCUGAAUCCAUCAGCUUCACACCGCCCUUCAGCCUACCUGUGAACUGAUAUAAUGCACCUGGAUUCUGAUGUGGAUGAACUAUAAUUCCUAUGUAAAAAAAACAGCAGUGCAGGUGGAACAAUGUAUUAUUGUUAAUAAAACGGGUCAAUGUUUCCUACAUGAAGAGAUACAUAGUAGGACAGCCUGAAGAUGUUAUGUUUUCGUAAAAGAGAUUACUAAUAAACUUUCUAUGUUUUACCUA